rnacentral:rRNA from 1 species
CCUACGGGUGGCUGCAGUGGGGAAUAUUGGACAAUGGGGGCAACCCUGAUCCAGCCAUGCCGCGUGUGUGAAGAAGGCCCUCGGGUUGUAAAGCACUUUCAGUGAGGAAGAACGCCUGGUGGUUAAUACCCAUCAGGAAAGACAUCACUCACAGAAGAAGCACCGGCUAACUCCGUGCCAGCAGCCGCGGUAAUACGGAGGGUGCGAGCGUUAAUCGGAAUUACUGGGCGUAAAGCGCGCGUAGGUGGCUUGAUAAGCCGGUUGUGAAAGCCCCGGGCUCAACCUGGGAACGGCAUCCGGAACUGUCAAGCUAGAGUGCAGGAGAGGAAGGUAGAAUUCCCGGUGUAGCGGUGAAAUGCGUAGAGCUCGGGAGGAAUACCAGUGGCGAAGGCGGCCUUCUGGACUGACACUGACACUGAGGUGCGAAAGCGUGGGUAGCAAACAGGAUUAGAUACCCUGGUAGUC